rnacentral:misc_RNA from 1 species
GCAUUGUUGAGAAAUUGUCACCAUCAUCGGCUAUAGUCAAGCUCUGAUAGACAUGAAGCUAGGGCUUGUCUAACAAGCUUAUUAUUUGAUUCCACACAAAGCACUUCUUCAAACAGACUCUUUGCCUGCUGCAGAAGUUUCAUCUUUUCUCUGCUGUUAUUUGGGCGCAAAUGAGACCGCUGCUGCAGUGCUAAUCCCCAUCUG